UACGGAGGGUCCAAGCGUUAUCCGGAAUCAUUGGGUUUAAAGGGUCCGUAGGCGGUUUUGUAAGUCAGUGGUGAAAGCCCAUCGCUCAACGGUGGAACGGCCAUUGAUACUGCAAGACUUGAAUUAUUGGGAAGUAACUAGAAUAUGUAGUGUAGCGGUGAAAUGCUUAGAGAUUACAUGGAAUACCAAUUGCGAAGGCAAGGU
rnacentral:rRNA from 1 species